UGGGGGAUAUUGCACAAUGGGCGCAAGCCUGAUGCAGCGACGCCGCGUGGGGGAUGAAGGCCUUCGGGUUGUAAACUUCUUUUGCUCUGAACAAGGCGCACUUUGGGGUGUGUUGAGUGUAGGGGUUGAUUAGCGCCGGCUAACUACGUGCCAGCAGCCGCGGUAAUACGUAGGGCGCGAGCGUUGUCCGGAAUUAUUGGGCGUAAAGGGCUUGUAGGUGGCUGGUUGCGUCUGUCGUGAAAGCUCAUGGCUUAACUGUGGGUUUGCGGUGGGUACGGGCUGGCUUGAGUGCAGUAGGGGAGGCUGGAAUUCCUGGUGUAGCGGUGGAAUGCGCAGAUAUCUGGAGGAAUACCGGUGGCGAAGGCGGGUCUCUGGGCUGUUACUGACACUGAGGAGCGAAAGCAUGGGGAGCGAACAGG
rnacentral:rRNA from 1 species